CACUCAUCACAAGACAAGAGAAGAAGAAAGGGAGGGAGCACUAUCGCCGGCGGCCAUGGCGUGCCUCUUCCCUAUCCCAGAUCAGAUCCAGCACACCCCCAACCGCAUCCACAACCCACGCCGCUGUGGCUCCCAAUCCCUCCCAUGCAGCCGCCGCUGAUGCCUUCUGGACCGCCACCUCGAAGGGACGGCGACAUCGACUAGAACGUCUUCCUCCCCCAGCGACAACGACGUUCUUCGCCACCGUCGUGGUCAUGCUGCAGCGACCAGUAGAGGAACUCCUCCAGUAGAGGGGGGGGGUCCUCCCUUGCUUCCUUGUCCACCACGAAGCACACACGGGCAGGGGAGGAGCCGCGGCGUCCAACCUCCAUAGCCCCCCGAAGCCGACAAAUCAUCUGACGCGUGAGUGCCUUCUCUCCUUCUCCCUCCUCUGCUUCUUCCUUCUUCCCCCGAACUGAUGUGUGAUGUGCACACAGAGGCAGUUGAAGGGGCCAGGCCAUGGAGAGGCUGCAUUGCCAUGGACAUGCCAGAGAGGAGUACAUUCUUGGCCGAUGUAGAAGCUGCGGGAGAGGAGGGCUCUGAUUGCGUGUUGUAUACAUAAUAAAACCAAAAAUAGGAGCAGUUUCAGUCAUGCAACCCUCCUCCCCUCCCCUUAUCUUCUUCUUCUGGAUUUGUUCUGAUCCGUGCAUUUGGUUUGUGCAGGCCAUCACCAAGCUGCUGCCGGUGUGCCCGCCAAGGUGCCUGAUUUGGGCAGCUCGACGGCGGCAAGCAACCCUAGCCCGCUCCACCGAGCGCACCAAGGUGCCUAAUUUGGCACCUCGACGACGACGAGCAAUCCCACCCUACUCCACCGAGCCCACCAAGGUGCCUGAUUUGGAAGCUAUGGAGGCCAUCACCAAGGUCCUGCGAGUUUAAAGGAGUAGAAGGUCCAAGGGUCUGCCCACCAAGGCCGCCUAGCAACAAUGCAGGGGUGAUGGCAACACCUUUCUCCCUCAAAGGAUGGCAAGAUUGCAACCAACCA